AUUAACUGAACAGCACUUUGCCUCUUGGUGCCUUUGACAGUUUGGCAGUGAUCUGGGAAGUUACCAGAGAAGCUGCAGAGAAGCAGGAGAGGGAGGCCGGGGUGUGUUCAGUGCACCAGUGUGUGCUGAUUCCUGGUUCUGUACGUGGCCACUCUGGCUCAGGGCAUACUGAGAGAAGUGGGUGUCACAUGGAUUUUCAUCUCAGUCACUUUGUCCUUCAGGGUGCUGACACAUAACUGCUCCAGACAGAGAUUCUUCUAAGAGAGGGUCCCUGUGUUCAUCCUGAGAGGAAAGACAACUUCUCACAAUGGAAAACAGUCCUGGAAGCAGGCUGGCUAGCUGCAGCAAAGGGCUCUCUGAACACUGUUGCAGAAGGGAAGCUUUCUUCUUCUUCUUCCUUUUCUUCAAAGAAGAUACAAAGCUCCUUCCAGCCUCUCUGGAGAAUCCGUGAGGGAACAGUCUGCUUUAAAAUGCCAUUAAAACAUCUCUCAAAUUAAAAACAGUCCUGGAAUGUACAACUUCAUGAGAGAACAGCUCAAUGAUAUAUGAAAGUGCUCUCUGACUACCUACGGGUGUGGAGGGUGUGGGCAAGCGUCAAACACUCUCCCAGGGCUGGGUCCCCAGCCCUGUCCAGUGAUGCAUGGUUGGAUAUGCAUUUAUUUAUUCAGUCUCCAUAAGCCUCAGUUUCA